CGCUAAGCACGCCCACGAAGUGUAGUGGACGUCUUUGGAAGUGGACGUUUUUGUAAACAAAUGUUCACGAGAUAAAGGAAAUGACUUUGGUAAAGAAGAAGGCAUUUCAGACAGGACUUCGCUUGAAAUCCUAAUCUAUCAAAUUUGAGUUUUUGCUUAACUGAAGACUUGCCUUGUAUCAAAACGACUUCAUAGAAGUAUCGAAACUCCUGUAGGAACGAGGAACCAUAGAGCAGGAACCAGGAACCGAAAAAAAGGACCAGAAACCAGGAGCCGAAAAACAAGGACCAGAAACUAGGAGCCGAGAAAUAAGAACCAGGAACCGAGAAACGAGGACAAGGUACCAGGAGUUAAGAACCAUGAAGCAGGGAUUAGGAACCACAAACCAUGGACCAGGAAACAGGAACCAGAGACUAUGGACCAGGAAACAGGAACCGAAAUUCAGGAACCAUUGAUCAUGGACCAAGAAGAACCAGGGAUCAGGAACCAUGAACCAAGAAUCAUGAACUAAGACCAGGAAACACGGACCACGAACCAUGGACUAGAAAAUAGGAACAACUGACCAUGAACCAAGAACCAGGAACCACGAACCAUGGACCAGAAAACAUAAACAACUGACGAUGAACCAAGAACCAGGGACCACGAACCAUGGACUAAGAAUCAUGAACUAAGACCAGGAAACAGGAACCACGAACCAUCGACCAAGAACCAGGGACCACGAACCAUGGACCAGGAAACAGGAACAAGUGAUCAUGAACCAAGAACCAGGGGCCAUGGUCCAGGAAUCAAGGAAUCAGGAACAGUGGACUAAAAAGGUUGAGAGAGAGAACUUUUCUGAAGAUACUGCUCAACCCUCACUGCGUGGCAGGAAUGGGGCCUUAUAAUCGGUCUCAUGGCGUUUCGUGGGUGACUGGUCAAGUCUAAUCCACGACUACAAGUUGAACCAAUUACUCCUGAAUGGCUCAUCACUACAGGGCUUCUGUGUGAAAUAAAUUCGAAGUAUUCUCAUGGUGUAUAAGCGGGCAGAAGAUUAUACACAACUCAAGGGAAUUUCUACAAAUCAGAAAUACUACAAACUUGUAGAAAUUUUUGAAAGAAGAGACAGCAAAAAUGAUUGCUGCUGAAAAAGGAACAAGAAAACAGAGUAUGACAUCGAAUAACACUCUAAUGAAGAAAAGAAGUCGGGCGAAAGACAAUUAUUUCAAGAAAUCAUAUAAAUGAGGAACCUACAAGACAGGAUCGCCCAGCACAAAAGAAAAAAAAUUACUCCUUAAUAUUAAUGUUAAAGAGAUCAUAAUCUUAAAGAUACUAUUAAAACUAUGUUAGUACUGUAAAAUGUAUAGUCACGAGCUAGUGUUGUUUUAUCAGAGUCAAAAUAGUGCCUAUUGGCCAGCAAGUUUUAGUUAAUCAGGGUCAUAACAGUUCCUAUUGGCCAGCAAGUUUUAGUUAAUCAGGGUCAAACAGUGCCUAUUGGCCAACAAGUUUCAGUUAAUCAGGGUCAAACAGUGCCUAUUGGCCAACAAGUUUCAGUUAAUCAGGGUCAUAACAGUGCCUAUUGGCCAGCAAGUUUUAGUUAAUCAGGGUCAUAACAGUGCCUAUUGGCCAGCAAGUUUUAGUUAAUCAGGGUCAUAACAGUGCCUAUUGGCCAGCAAGUUUUAGUUAAUCAGGGUCAUAACAGUGCCUAUUGGCCAGUAAGUUUUAGCUAAUCAUGGUAUUAAUGAUGCCUAUUGGCCAGCAAGUUUUAGUUAAUCAGGGUCAUAACGAUGCCUAUUGGCCAGCAAGUUUUAGUUAAUCAGGGUCAUAACUACCUAUUGGUCAGCAAGUUUCAGUUAAUCAGGG